rnacentral:rRNA from 1 species
UACGUAGGGUGCGAGCGUUGUCCGGAAUUAUUGGGCGUAAAGGGCUCGUAGGCGGUUUGUCGCGUCGGGAGUGAAAUCCACCUGGCUUAACUGGGUGGCUUGCUUUCGAUACGGGCAGACUGGAGGUAUGCAGGGGAGAAACGGAAUUCCUGGUGUAGCGGUGAAAUGCGCAGAUAUCAGAGAGGAACACCGAUGGCGAAGGCAGUCUUCUGGGCCAAAACUGACGCUGAGGAGCGAAAGGCGUGGGGAGCGAACAGG